CCCGUGUUUGAGCCAGCCUAGAUCUGUUCUGCUUUACUGCUUUAUGUAGUCUCCCCAGUUUCAACAGGGAUGCCCUUCUGAGGAAGACCACAUGAAACCAGUGGAUACUCUUCCAGUGGAGCAAAUUCUUUUCCCAGCACUCUCAAUGGAUAAACAAAUUUCAAGUGAGAUUGAGACUAUUUAGGAUCCUUUCUGGUUCAGUUGUGCACGUAUGGACUGAUGCCAAUGGAACCAAUGGAAUGUCUCUGGAUAUACAUUCACUGUGACUGAGGUACCAUGAUGAUUUGAAUGAGUUAAAGUAUCUGCAUGAAGAACUGGGGGGCACGGGGGGCAAAUAGGAAAGCUGUGGCAAGGCAGAAAAUAAUGUCCCUAAAAAUCCAGAUUGAGAUGUCUUGGGUCAUGAUGACAUUUCGGGAGUAUUCAGAAGCAAAAGAGGAAGUCAUUACAUCUGCAGUUCACCUGCAAAGAAGAUGUCAUUAAAAGAGGAAGCAAAAUGAACCCCUGUCAACUUGUUAGGGCCCAAAAGCUCCAAGGUGUCACAAGCUGAUUCUCUGCAACACAUUUCAAUAUGGGUAUUAUAACAACUCAUCUGAUACUGAUCUUAAUGGAUUUUUGAACUGCUAAUAUUUCAGACUUGAACUGCGUGUACUUCAAUUGAUGAUCUGAGCAUUCCACAAAUACCAGAACUAGCAUGUUUACUGCCCUGCAGUUGAUUGAUAUCUCCUAAUGAAGAAAGGACCUGGGAAAAUGAUAAAGGAAAGUUACUAAUUGGUUUAACUUAGGUCAGCCACUUCAUAUUUUAUAAAUGAGGAAACUUUUCAGGAAUUGCUGCUGGAAGCCAUCUGCUAACUAAAUAAAAAUGAAUUAUAAUCUUCAGGUUCCACAUGCCAUUUACAGAAAGUAUCAGAAAAAAAACCAAAACAACUGCUUACUUAAAAGUAAGAGCAAUGCAGGAACUCCAAUUCAAAGGCCCUAAUAAUCGUCUAUGUAAUAUAAAGUGUUAAUCAGUUUGGUAUACACGGACCUGUCAGCAGUUCUGGAUCCAUUCACUAUAUAUCAGAGACUACUUGUGGUCACUUUUAAGAGCUGCCAGUAGAAUUUACAAUAGCAAAUUAUGAUUUAUUAUUUCUUCCAGGAUAUCUGAUGUUUCUGUUCCCAAUCCUGCUUCCCUCAUCAUCAUCCUUUUUCCAGCUAAGACUGUAUGAGGCUGGGAAAUGUUCAGGAUGUGUGUAUUUCUCUUGUAUUGUGCAUAUUUUUGCAAGUCAUUAAACCUUUGUUUCUUGUCUUUUCUAACCUUCUUAGUAACCUAUCUAAACAACUCUCAAAGGAAAAUGAGUCAAUCAGGAAAGAGACAGCCCUAGUGCCAAAGCAAAAAAACCCCAUAGAAAUAGAAAUAAAAUUAGAAAAGGGAAAAGCUUUCACUUCAGGAAUGCAAGUACAACUUGGGCCUUGCUCCUUUAAAGUCAUACACUAUGUUUUAAUUUAUUUCUACUGCAUGUGCAAUUCUAUUGAAUCUGAAAGGCUACUCAUGUGCAUAAAAUUAAGCACACUGAAGAAUGUGGCAAUACUUCAAGCUACAUUUUAAUAUGAAGAAUGCUACAUAAGCAUAAUAGUAUGUGAUUCUUCUUAGUUUGUAAGUUCAAAAUCAAGACCUGCAGAAAAUCUGUAUGCUGCUUUGUACAAGUAAUUGCUAGAAACCACAUCUUUCUAUAACAAGGGCCCAUACUGUUUACCAUGUUGGCAUGGCAGUCCUGAGAAAAUUAAAUUUCCUUCACCAUAAAGACACACUUUCUUCCUGUGUUAGCAGUACUUUGCUUGGUUGUAUUACAUGCAGCAGGCAUAAUUUACUCCGGACCAUUUAGAACAACUCAGUUUAAGCAAUGCUGGGCAUUUUGUCAGGGUGACAAAGGGGAAUUACAUUGCACCCAUAUAUGGUAGACAAUGCAUGGACAACAUGUAAUAUUCUCUGUGGGUAAAGUUCAGUUCUGGGCAGAAAGCCAACAAAAGGCUCAUGCACCGCUUAAGUCCCACUUAAACCCUAUUUUGAAGGCUUAAUAGUACAUAGGCCGUGUUCUGGCCUCUUGCCCAGAAGUGAAUUUUACCAUGUUAGCGUCCCCUCUCCCCGCAUGCAAAGGGGGCAGAAGGGCAAAGCUUUUGUGCUGGGCAGUGAACUGAUUUCUGGAAGACACCACUGGUCUCCUCUAGUCUAAAAAAAGCAACAAAUUCAUAGAACAUCAUCUAUCCUGGUUUAUGGCUAAUCCACCCUCCCUGAUGUAGCAAGAGGUUACAUCGUGCCAAUAGUUCUGUCCUACAGAGCCAGGAAUCUACCUAACGAUUGACGCAUAGCUGGUAUUGAAAUUUCUCUCUGUGGCUGUCCUGCACUGUUAAAGAUCUUCAUCUGUCCUUUUCCAAGCUUGGAUUAAUUUUACCCUUUUGGUGAUCAUUAAGAAAAUUAGAAAAUUUUAUCCCCAUCAUUUUAAAGAUUUCUGAGAUCACU